AUUGCCUUGGAUACAACAGAGCUCUAUUAGAAAGAACCCAAAGGCCGAGGAAAGCAGUAGAGAUUGAGAGAAAAGCCCGUUGAACAAAUGGAGAGGAUGAUGGUAAUUCCUCUGUGACAGUGUAGAAGGGGAGAUAUCUACCACAGACGUAGCUAGAUCCAAGGUGAUACACUUGAUUCCAGGAUAAAGGCACUCGGGGGCUGAUUCAGAAUACCAUAUCCGGAGGUCCCAGUAGGUUUCUGUCCGGUUUUAUGCACUGCUUGCACCGCUAGAGGAACAGAGUGGCCAAGAGGCCAUGCUGCUUCUCAAUGGAUCCGCCAUUUUUCACCCAUCACCUCAUCAGGUGAUCACCCAGCCAGCCACGAUGUCAGAAUUGAUACCCAAGCAUUUUCUGUCACGUGACUCCAGUUCUCCCUUGGAUGGGAAGCAGUGUGGAAAAAUAACUCUGCUUUCAUAACAUGGGUCUUCUCUGAGGGCCCGAUUUUGGAACAAAUAAUUAAAAACAAAUAUACAAUCACAGA